rnacentral:lncRNA from 1 species
GUGGGAGCACUAUAGAAUUUCUGAUAAGUAUAUGUGGUUGACAUAUUGUUGAUCGAAAAUGAUGUAGAAUUUUUGGAAAGCAUAUAGGGUUGUUUGGAAAAGUGUUUUCAAAGGAAAACCUGGAUUAAGCUACUUGAACAUUGAGCAUCAAGAUCUAUGUAGAUAGAUCAAAGUUCUUAAUAGAAAUUUCAACGAAAUGCAUGCCUUGACAAGUUUUUGAAGGAGUUAAAAAUAGAUUAGGAAAGAAGGAGUUCUUGGCUGUGUUGUAGGGUGUGAAUUUAAGUAAGACUCAAACCCCGACCACGUCAGAAGAAAGAAAAGGACGAAGGUCGUCCCCUAUGCAUCAGCCGUAGGCUCUAUAGUAUGGUGUGUUGUGUACUGCACCUGAAGUGUGCCUUGCCAUGAGUCAGUCAAGGGGUACAAGAGUGAUCCAGGAAUGGAUCAUUGGAC